rnacentral:rRNA from 1 species
GUGGGGAAUAUUGCACAAUGGGCGGAAGCCUGAUGCAGCGACGCCGCGUGAGGGAUGAAGGCCUUCGGGUUGUAAACCUCUUUCAGCAGGGACGAAGCGUGAGUGACGGUACCUGCAGAAGAAGCACCGGCUAACUACGUGCCAGCAGCCGCGGUAAUACGUAGGGUGCGAGCGUUGUCCGGAAUUACUGGGCGUAAAGAGUUCGUAGGCGGUUUGUCGCGUCGUUUGUGAAAACCCGGGGCUCAACUUCGGGCUUGCAGGCGAUACGGGCAGACUUGAGUGUUUCAGGGGAGACUGGAAUUCCUGGUGUAGCGGUGAAAUGCGCAGAUAUCAGGAGGAACACCGGUGGCGAAGGCGGGUCUCUGGGAAACAACUGACGCUGAGGAACGAAAGCGUGGGUAGCAAACAGGAUUAGAAACCCUAGUAGUCC